GCCGACGUGGACCAUUGGCAGGUCAGCGGAUUGUCUAUCCGUCUUUAUGCGAGUUCGAUUCUCGUCGUCGGCGCCA
rnacentral:tRNA from 1 species